rnacentral:misc_RNA from 1 species
CCGCGUUUAAACUUUUGGACUUGGGUUGGUUUGGCAAAGUCUCCCAGAAAUUUCUCUUGUAAUUUUUUUUUUCUUCCAACUGUUGGACAAUCUGCCUUAACGCUAUCAUAAUUUACACACUUAAAACACCGUCAGACCUUCAGGAAAAAAAAUAAAAUUAAAGAAAACAAAUUCAUCAAAAGAACAGAUGGAUAUAAGAAUUCAAAUUAAAACUAUGACUACAUGUGAGAUGAAUCUUUGAAAAAAAUAAAUAAAUAAUCACGUCUGUUAUAUGGUAAACAAAGUCUCAUAUAAUUCUCUUAAGCAACUAGUUAAUUUAUUAGUGGAGUUGUUAAUGUUAAGAGUAAAUAAUUAAACAUAACAUACCAGAAAAAUAAGAAAAGUGUGGAGGAAAAGAUAACCUACGCUUAUGCAAAACACGUGCGCAACUUCCGGAGACCCGAUCUGUUUUCCUCCAUCACACACGACGGCUUAGAUCUUAACGCCUCGGCUAUAUCUCAUUAUUUUCUAAUUCCACCUCUGGCAUCACGUUCAAAUCCAAAACUCCAGUCGCCUCCUCUACAAUCGGCUUCUUUUCCGGUGGCUCCUUUUCC